rfam:Pteropus alecto contig162521, whole genome shotgun sequence.
AUGCUCGCUUUGGCAGCACAUAUACGAAAAUUGGAAAGAUUCAGAGAUUAGCUUGGCCCCUGUUCAAGGAUGACACACAAAUUUGUGAAGUGUUCCAUAUUUUU